GUUUCAUUGGCGCUGCCAGGCGUCAGCGGUGCCUGUUGUUGGGUCUGCUGCUGACUCGCCUCAUUGUUAGCAGCUGAAGCGGCCACUUCGGACUCGUCAAACUCCCUCUUGAAUAUGGAGAGCAGGCAGCUGAUCCGUGUCCAUCACCAAUGGAUACUCCUUCAUUAACUGGGAGACGGACUUCCGCUGCUGCAGGGAGAUCGUGGGCGCAGCUAUGGCCUGGCCAACUGAUCCCAGGGCCAAAGAUGUCAUAACUGUGUUUAUAUCCCCAAUCGAGCGUAGAACUCCACCUUCGGCUGCAAGUAAUGGGGUUUAAGAAGUGUGUGGACAGCUGAGAUCUCCGGCUUCGGGACACACCACUGUGCGAUCAUCGACCAGGCUAGUGAAAGAAAUCAGAUGUUUAGUGCAGGAUUCAACAACAGUUGGCCCCCGGAGAUCCUCCAAUGGUACUUACCCG